AUUGAUUUGUUCUUAAGUAGUUCUGAGUCCUUCCUGCAUAUCAGGCAGGGACAAACGGGAAAGUCCCUGCCCUUGGCAAGUGCGGGGGAAAUGAAAUGAUUCUGCUCAGCCUCAUCCAUUGGUCUGAACAAUCACGUCUCAUGACCCCAGGGACACGGCUUCCCCUGAACGCGGAUCCUAGAGGCCAGGCAGAAGCAGCAUGGGUUUCCACUCACACGGUAGGUGGCUGUGCGAUUUCGUCUGGAGUCCCCGGACCCCUCCUCAUCCUUCCCAGGGUUGCUCUGAGGCCAUUCCUCGUCAUCUAGGAGGGGUCUACAUAAAAGCAUUUAUAAACAGCUCCAAAUGGGAGCCUGGCGCGCCCACCUUUGGAGCACUUUUCUCUACUGCAGAUUUAUCUACUGCUCGUGAAAUCUCUGGAUUUAACUGUGAUGAAAGACCGGAGGCUGAAGGAGAACUUCAAUAUCAUAUAUUUUAAAGGUUGACUCACAGUUUGGAACAAGAAUUAAAGAACCACGAACUUCAAGGUAAAACGGGCAAUGGCGUUGGGGCAAGCCUCUCUGCAUCUGUGUGUCCAGCCUCUCCUGCGUGCCAGAAGUCCCCAGGCAGGAGUGUGGUGGGACAUCCGGCUGGGGUAAGGACAGGCACCCUCCCACUGUGUCAGGGCCCAGAGAGUGGGUGGAGAAGCUCUGCAAGAGACCUGUGCAAGGGCGCCUUGUAGGAGCCUGCCGUCCCCACAGGGGUGUUUGUGGAUAACACUUGGGGAGCCCUGGCCUUUUGGGGUCACGGAGGGCUUGGCCUCUCACCUCAGAGCUGCAGAGGAGACGCUUCUACAUCAGGACAUCAGAAGCUGGAACGGGGAUGGCCGGCGAGGGGCCUCUUGUUGGGGUCACAGAGAUGGGUCGCAGAGAUGGCCUGUGUGGAAGGUUGGAUUCUCACCCCACCUCUGCCCCUAGAUGUCCUGGUGACCCUCCCCUCUGUAGUCUUGGUUUUUUGCAAAACACUUAUGACCUCCUGCCAUACUGGGUACUUUGCUUAGUCUGGAUGAAGUGCUUCAUGCCUGUAAUCCAAGCACUUUGAGAGGCUGAGGCGGGCAGAUGGCUUGAGCCCAGGAGUUUGAGACCAGCCUGGAAAACAUAGAGAAACCCCGUCUCAAUAUAAGAAGAAGAAGAAAAAGAAAAAAAAAAAAUCAAAAACGAAAACAACACAAAUUUUAGAGUGGUGAUGUAAAAUUCUCAAACAAUGAGAUAGAUAAAAAGUACGCAGCCAAAAAGUGCAGGAAGAAGUGUUAUGGAGAUGGAGCAGGCCCUUCGUAAAAACACGAUGUUGGUUUUCUGGAUUUUGGGAGGCCUCACAAAACCUGGAUCAGACUCGCCCACUGCCCUGUGUCUGCCCUCCCGACCCCCUCUCCUGCCCAGCAGGGAUGUGGGUGGCAGUGGUGCUGUGUGGAGGGUGGCGGGAGGACC
rnacentral:lncRNA from 1 species